AACGAACGCUGGCGGCAUGCCUAACACAUGCAAGUCGAACGAGAUCUUCGGGUCUAGUGGCGCACGGGUGCGUAACGCGUGGGAAUCUGCCCUUUGGUUCGGAAUAACAGUUGGAAACGACUGCUAAUACCGGAUGAUGACGAGAGUCCAAAGAUUUAUCGCCAGAGGAUGAGCCCGCGUAGGAUUAGCUAGUUGGUGUGGUAAAGGCGCACCAAGGCGACGAUCCUUAGCUGGUCUGAGAGGAUGAUCAGCCACACUGGGACUGAGACACGGCCCAGACUCCUACGGGAGGCAGCAGUGGGGAAUAUUGGACAAUGGGCGAAAGCCUGAUCCAGCAAUGCCGCGUGAGUGAUGAAGGCCUUAGGGUUGUAAAGCUCUUUUACCCGGGAUGAUAAUGACAGUACCGGGAGAAUAAGCUCCGGCUAGCUCCGUGCCAGCCGCCGCGGUAA
rnacentral:rRNA from 1 species